CAGCACCAGGGUCGGAGACCACUGAUCUAACCCGUUUCUAACUAGUUUUAGGACGGGAGCAGAGUUGGUCUGAAUUGCCACAUCCAGUUGGACCAUAGAGUGUAUUGGAUCCGAGUAUUGGACUCAUAAACAGGAGAUAAUGAUUGGUCAGAGCUCCGGGUCGGCUUGACAACAAAGGGCGGACUCAUCUUACGUUAGUGUCAACCAUAGAGCGUAUAUAAAUCAGAGUUCAGUGGUGUCAACGUGAUCGAGUAGCGAACUUUUCGGUAAAACUAAGGCCCCGACGCAUGUCUUGAACGUUUGCCUGGCCAGCUCAAAGCCGCAGUGGAUGUAUGAUCUGUCAGAGAUGCACUCUAAACUUUCGAUCCAGCGGCUGAUCAACGAACGACGAGCGGAGGGUUCAGCACCUGCCGGUUUCAGCACCUCGUACGGCGAACAGCUCCCAGACCCAGAUUCAGUGCCGUCACUCAAUUACGGGUUUGUCAAUAUGGUGAAUUUUAUUGACAUUUCUGUUAUACUAACUAUAUAUUCACAAUAUAUAUUUUUGGAAAUUAAAAGAAAGGCUUACAUUUAUCUAGCGUUUCUGGAAACAUCACGACCAAUGUGUAUUUCGGCAAAAUGCAUUUCUUUUUUUCCCUUCGCAUUAGGUAAGAAAAAAUAAGAUUGAUUAAGCAAGACAUGUGCAGUCAGCAAGGUGGUAAAAUACCAUUUUAUAAAGGCAUUUAAAACCUUAUGUUCCCAAAAAUGCCGACCUUUCACUUAAAUGUAUUGAAAUACAAUUGGCCUGUGGUUUUUAUUUCAUUAUUAAAAUUUUAUAGAUUAGGUUAUAAUUCGCAACCUUGCAUAUUAUUCUUAUUGUUGCGCUGUCAUUUAAAUUCAUCAUUAUCGCACAGCUGUCUCUGACAUUUGUCGUGGACAAACUCAAAUUUGUCCUUCACGUUCUUUACUGGACGUUAAUGACGCAGACAUUCGCUUAAUUCAUGUGAAUAUCUGUAAUUGUAUGGUUUCUUCGUUGUGGGGCUAUCAUUGUAGUAUCUAUGUGAGUUACUGUAGAGAGAUAAAUUACAAACUAAGCACUUACCAUUUAAGCUCCUUUCAGUAAAAGAUUCAUCCAGUGUGUACAUAAUGUUAUCAUGUCACAUAAAGACAUUAGGCUACUGCACUACAGUAACGUCAGAAUUAUCAUUAAUUUCACACGGUGCUUGCCAUUAAGAGCA